GCCAGGCGAGGUGACGUGCGCCUCUAGUCCCAGCUACUCGGGAGGCUGAGGUAGGAGGAUCACUUGAGUCCAGCAAUUCUGGGCUGCAGUAUGCUAUGCCAAUCGGGUGUCAGCACUAAGUUCAGCAUCAAUAUGGUGACCUCUUGGGAGCAGGGGACCACCAGGUUGCCUAAGGAGGGGUGAACCGGCCCAGGCUGGAAACGGUGCAGGUCAAAACAAGGGGGUUAAAAAGUCAUUUAGAUUUAGAAUAGAUCUAAAUAGACCAAAUAAUUGAAAAAUAUGGGACAGU
rfam:Fukomys damarensis contig88266, whole genome shotgun sequence.